ACUGCUCAGUAACACGUAGCUAACCUACCCUCAGGACGUGGAUAACCCCGGGAAACUGGGGCUAAUCCGCGAUAGGUAUGAAGGCCUGGAAUGGUUUCAUGCCCAACGGCACAGCGAUCAUGUUUGUUGUGUGCCUGAGGAUGGGGCUGCGGCUGAUCAGGCAGUUGGCGAGGUAACGGCUCACCAAACCUUUGACCAGUACGGGCCAUGAAAGUGGUAGCCCGGAGAUGGGCACUGAGACAGGGGCCCAGGCCCUACGGGGCGCAGCAGGCGCGAAAACUCCACACUGUACGACAGUACGAUGGGGUUAUCUCGAGUGCAGUCCGAUAAGGGCUGCUUUUCCAUAGAGUAAUAUCCUGUGGGAAUAAGAGGGGGGCAAGACUGGUGUCAGCCGCCGCGGUAACACCAGCCCCUCGAGUGGUGGGGACUAUUACUUGGUCUAAAGCGUCCGUAGCUGGCUGUAUCCGUCCCCCGUUAAAUCCAGCGUCCUAAACGUUGGACUGCGGGUGAUACCAUACAGCUAGAGGGUGGGAUAGGUGAGCGGUAUUUCUGGGGUAGGGGCGAAAUCCUUUGAUCCCAGGAGGACCACCAGUGGCGAAGGCUGCUCACUAGAACACGCCUGACGGUCAGGGACGAAAGCUGGGGCAGCGAACCGGAUUAGAUACCCGGGUAGUCCCAGCUGUAAACGAUGCUAGUAGGGUGGGUUGGGUCGGCCACGCGCCGCCCCAGUGCCGCAGGAAAGCCGUUAAGCUAGCCACCUGGGGAGUACGGCCGCAAGGCUGAAACUUAAAGGAAUUGGCGGGGGAGCAC
rnacentral:rRNA from 1 species